rnacentral:rRNA from 1 species
UAAGACGAACCGUACAAACGUUAUUCGGAAUCACUGGGCUUAGAGGGUGCGUAGGCGGCGGGGAAAGUUGGAUGUGAAAUCCCUCGGCUCAACCGAGGAACUGCGUCCAAAACUUCCUGGCUUGAGGGAGACAGAGGUGAGCGGAACUCAGGGUGGAGCGGUGAAAUGCGUUGAUAUCCUGGGGAACACCGGUGGCGAAGGCGGCUCACUGGGUCUCUUCUGACGCUGAGGCACGAAAGCUAGGGUAGCGAACGGGAUUAGAUACCCCGGUAGUCCUAGCUGUAAACGAUGAGCACUGGGUAGGAGAUCCUUCCACAGGUUUCCUGCCGUAGCGAAAGUGUUAAGUGCUCCGCCUGGGGAGUAUGGUCGCAAGGCUG